rnacentral:rRNA from 1 species
UUAUUUCUUUGCCUGUUUAUCAAAAACAUGUUUGUUUGAAGAUAUAAGGAAUUUGGCCUGCCCCCUGAUUAGUUAAAGGGCCGCAGUAUUAUAACUGUGCAAAGGUAGCAUAAUCAUUAGGUUUUUAAUUGAAAUCUUGUAUGAAUGGUCGGACAAAAGAAAAUCUCUCUUUAUAUUAAAUUUGAAUUUAACUUUUAAGUGAAAAGGCUUAAAUAUUCUAAAGGGACGAUAAGACCCUAUAAAACUUUAUAUUAUGAUUAUAAUUUAUUUUAAUUUGAAAAUAAAGACUUAAUUAAAUUAUUUAUUGUGUUGGGGUGAUAUGGGUAAAAUUUGUUUUAACUGCUUUAGGAGUUGAACAAUUAUAGAUGAAAAUAAUAGAUCCUUUUUAAAGAUUAGUAGUUUAAGUUACUUUAGGGAUAACAGCGUAAUUUCUUUUAAGAGUUCUUAUCGAAAAAGAAGAUUGCGACCUCGAUGUUGAAUUAAAAUAUCUAUAUGGUGGAGGUAUUAUAUGAGAAGGUCUGUUCGACCUUUAAAUUUUUACAUGAUUUGAGUUCAAACCGGCGUGAGCCAGGUUGGUUUCUAUCUUUUAGGAUUUAAGAAAUUAUUUUAGUACGAAAGGAUUAAAUAAUUAGAAUAAUUUUA